AGCUUUGCAGAGUGGCAGUAUCAUAACCAGUGAGGUUUAUCUGAGGCAUGAUUAUUGCUAAAUUGAAAACUUAAAAUGUCAUGAAAUAAUUUUCCUGAUUUGCCGUUUGCAA
rnacentral:snRNA from 1 species